UCCAGUUUAUAUAGGUAUUUGGUAUAUUAAGUGUGAUACAAUUAAAUUAUUAUUAUUAUUAUUAUUAUUUUUAUUAUUAUUAUUAUUAUUAUUAUUAUUAUUAUUGUUGUUGUUGUUGUUGUUGUUGUGCGUGUGUGAUUAGAAAAAAAUGAUAUAUAUAUAUAUUAAAUAGUGAGAUAAAUAAAUAGUGAAGCAUUAGAUUAGUUAGUUAGUUUAAAAUUUAAAAUUUAAAUUUAAAUCAGCAUAAUUUUAUCUGAUUAGUUAGAUAUUUAUUUUUAAAUUUAAACCUAUUAUACGAUAUGUUAUAUACGUAUAUACUCUAUAACCCUAGCAGCCAGAUAGUAUCGUAUUCCCUUAUUCUCACCAUCUCUCAAUUUCCUUUUUUUUUAUUCUCUCUAUUGAACCAAAUCAAUUGUUUUAAUCUUAAGAGCUUCGGGGUUAGCAAUCAACCGAUCAUCGUUCCGUGUCUUCGAAAUCUUCAGGGCCUAGAAGGUAUCGUAGGAGUUAAUUACAGCGGAGUUGAGGUAAGGAAAAAUAAUUAUACUUUAUACUUGCUUUUUAUAUGGUUUGAGUACCUAGUAUGACUGCUUGAAUAAAUUGUAUUGAAACUGUGGAAUGUGAUAGUUUCGGUGAAAUAUUAGUGUUUUGUCGAUGGAUUGUAUAUGGCUGUUUAAUCAUGUUCCAGGUACUUGGAAGUGGUUGGAAACCACACAUGUAUGGUGAUGUGGUAAGUGAGGCAGUGUACGUAAGGGUGCACUGGUUAUUGGUACUGCGUUCUGGUUAAGAACGUAAGACACUCCAGAUUUGUAUGGAAGCUGGUGUGUGAUUGUGAGUGUGAGUAUGUGGUAUUUCAGUAUUUGUGUGGCUGCCUCUAUUUAUACUUAUGAUUAGGUUGUUGUAUGUUUGAUGUAUAUGUUUGUGCUAUGAUGUGUGAAUGCUGGUACAUAGUAUUUUGUUUUCCUUACUGGGCUUUGCAGCUCACCCCUUAUUUACCCCCUAUGUGCAGAUAAGUAAGCCUGUAAGCUUUCGGUGACAAGUUGAGUCUGGGCAGCAUGGGGUGUAUCUCGUGUGAUCAUGUAACUGCGUGUGGUCUUGGCCAUCUUCCGCUGAAAGUUUUUUUUUUAAAUUUAUUAAACUUAUCGAGGAUGUUGUCGUUUAAAUUUUCUAUUACUUUUCCCUAAGUGGUAAUACUUUAUUUUCAACUGGGUACCCAUGUUUUGAAAAGAGUUUUUUUUUUUUUUUAAAAAAAUAAAGGCAACAUUAGUAUCUUAACGCCAGUUUAUUUAUGGCAUCUUAUUUUACGUAAGUAAGGGCGUUACAAAUGGUACCAGAGCCACAGUUACAUUGAUCUUGAAUUCACGCGACAUACACACCAUCGCUGCAAAGGAUCAACUUGUCAUCAAGUAUGUAUGCUUUAUAUAUGUUAU